UACGUAGGGUGCAAGCGUUGUCCGGAAUUAUUGGGCGUAAAGAGCUCGUAGGCGGUUUGUUGCGUCGGCUGUGAAAACCUGAGGCUCAACCUCAGGCCUGCAGUCGAUACGAGCAGACUAGAGUGUUGCAGGAGAGACUGGAAUUCCUGGUGUAGCGGUGAAAUGCGCAGAUAUCAGGAGGAACACCGGUGGCGAAGGCGGGUCUCUGGGCAACAACUGACGCUGAGGAGCGAAAGCGUGGGGAGCGAACAGG
rnacentral:rRNA from 1 species